GACGAACGCUGGCGGCGCGCUUAACACAUGCAAGUCGAGCGAGAACCAGACCUUCGGUCUGGGACGAGCGGCGAACGGGUGAGUAACACGUGGGUAAUCUGCCCUCGAUUCUGGGAUAGCCCGGGGAAACCCGGAUUAAUACCGGAUAGCCUCUUGAGCUCUCGGGCUCUCGAGAAAAGGUAGCUUCGGCCUCCGAUCGAGGAUGAGCCCGCGGUGGAUUAGCUUGUUGGUGGGGUAAUGGCCACCAAGGCGACGAUCCAUAGCUGGUCUGAGAGGACGAUCAGCCACACUGGGACUGAGACACGGCCCAGACUCCUACGGGAGGCAGCAGUGGGGAAUCUUGCGCAAUGGGCGAAAGCCUGACGCAGCGACGCCGCGUGAGGGAUGACGGCCU
rnacentral:rRNA from 1 species